GCAUAUCAAUAAGCGGAGGAAAAGAAACCAACAGGGAUUGCCCCAGUAACGGCGAGUGAAGCGGCAACAGCUCAAAUUUGAAAUCUGGCUUCGGCCCGAGUUGUAAUUUGGAGAGGAUGCUUUGGGCGCGGCGCCUUCCGAGUUCCUUGGAACAGGACGCCAGAGAGGGUGAGAGCCCCGUACGGUUGGACUCCAAGCCUAUGUAAAGCUCCUUCGACGAGUCGAGUAGUUUGGGAAUGCUGCUCAAAAUGGGAGGUAAAUUUCUUCUAAAGCUAAAUACCGGCCAGAGACCGAUAGCGCACAAGUAGAGUGAUCGAAAGAUGAAAAGCACUUUGAAAAGAGGGUUAAACAGUACGUGAAAUUGUUGAAAGGGAAGCGCCUAUGACCAGACUUGCGCCCCGCGAACCACCCGGCGUUCUCGCCGGUGCACUUCGCGGGGCGCAGGCCAGCAUCGGUUUCCCCAGGGGGAUAAAGGCCGCGGGAACGUAGCUCCUCCGGGAGUGUUAUAGCCCGUGGUGUCAUGCCCUUGGGGGGACCGAGGACCGCGCUUCGGCAAGGAUGCUGGCGUAAUGGUCAUCAGCGACCCGUCUUGAAACACGGACCAAGGAGUCAAGCAUUAGGGCGAGUGUUUGGGUGCCAAACCCGCACGCGAAAUGAAAGUAAACGCAGGUGAGAGCUUCGGCGCAUCAUCGACCGAUCCUGAUGUAUUCGGAUGGAUUUGAGUAAGAGCCUUACCGCUUGGACCCGAAAGAUGGUGAACUAUGCCUGUAUAGGGUGAAGCCAGAGGAAACUCUGGUGGAGGCUCGCAGCGGUUCUGACGUGCAAAUCGAUCGUCAAAUAUGGGCAUGGGGGCGAAAGACUAAUCGAACCAUCUAGUAGCUGGUUACCGCCGA
rnacentral:rRNA from 1 species